UUCGGCCUGGCACUCUCACCCCGCCCUUUCACGAAGUGUGUGGAUGCUGCUCUGGCUCCUCUGCGACUCC